AUCCACCAGACCCGAAUAAAUCUGUAUAAAUAGUAGCAAGGGCAGCUCCUAUUGAAAUAAGUUCGAUUUCUUUUCUUACAAAACAAUCACAGCUAUAUUUCAACUUCACAUUACGUUCAAUUUCACAAGCAGCGCAAAUGGCAUCCGAAUGCGAAGGUAAGAGUUCAUGGCCGGAACUAGUGGGAAAAGAUGGACAAGCAGCGGCAGCAACAGUGGAGAAGGAGAAUCCGAACGUGAAUGCCAUUGUGUUGUUGGAGGGAACUCGAACAACAAAGGACUUCAGGUGUGACCGUGUUUGGGUUUGGGUUGACAAGGACGGAAUUGUUGUUCGCACACCUAUAAUUACUUAGGCGCUCAUCUUGUCCCGGAUCAGAUCAAGUAUAAUCUAUGUUGGGAUCUCUUAUCUCUAUGAUCCAUAAUAAGUAUGUUCGUGUCGUAUAAUAAAAGAAGUAUCUGCUAAGAUCUCUUUACCGGUUUGAUAUUUCUGUAUUAUUUGUUAAGUAUGUUCGUGUCGUAUAAUAAAAGAAGUAUCAGGUAGGAUCUUAGCACCAGCUUGAUCUAACAAUAUUUAUUUGUUGUGGACGAGCUUCAUGUGCUUUUAUGGUACUACGAAUAAUUGUUCUGAUUGUACUCAUUCAAAAACAUCUUGUUUAAGUAUGCUUUCUUUCUUGUUAUCAAACUUCCAUGUAAUUCAAUUGUUUUGUUUUAAUAA